UACGGAGGAUCCAAGCGUUAUCCGGAUUUAUUGGGCUUAAAGGGUGCGUAGGCGGCUUAUUAAGUCAGGGGUGAAAGACGGUGGCUCAACCAUCGCAGUGCCUUUGAUACUGAUGAGCUUGAAUACACUUGAGGUAGGCGGAAUGUGACAAGUAGCGGUGAAAUGCAUAGAUAUGUCACAGAACACCAAUUGCGAAGGCAGCUUACUAAGGUGCAAUUGACGCUGAGGCACGAAAGCGUGGGGAGCAAACAGG
rnacentral:rRNA from 1 species